rnacentral:rRNA from 1 species
GAUGAACGCUGGCGGCGUGCCUAAUACAUGCCAGUCGAGCGAACAGACGAGGAGCUUGCUCCUCUGACGUUAGCGGCGGACGGGUGAGUAACACGUGGAUAACCUACCUAUAAGACUGGGAUAACUUCGGGAAACCGGAGCUAAUACCGGAUAAUAUAUUGAACCGCAUGGUUCAAUAGUGAAAGACGGUUUUGCUGUCACUUAUAGAUGGAUCCGCGCCGCAUUAGCUAGUUGGUAAGGUAACGGCUUACCAAGGCAGCGAUGCGUAGCCGACCUGAGAGGGUGAUCGGCCACACUGGAACUGAGACACGGUCCAGACUCCUACGGGAGGCAGCAGUAGGGAAUCUUCCGCAAUGGGCGAAAGCUUGACGGAGCAACGCCGCGUGAGUGAUGAAGGUCUUCGGAUCGUAAAACUCUGUUAUUAGGGAAGAACAAAUGUGUAAGUAACUAUGCACGUCUUGACGGUACCUAAUCAGAAAGCCACGGCUAACUACGUG